rnacentral:rRNA from 1 species
GCAAGUCUGGUGCCAGCAGCCGCGGUAAUUCCAGCUCCAAUAGCCUAUAUCGGAGUUGCUGCGGUUAAAAAGCUCGUCGUUGGAUCUCGGAGGCGGCACGGUCGGGCGCGAUACGCUGCGGGUCCGACCGGCGAUUUCUCGGCCGUCCCUAACCAGCGCGCGGGGCGAGGUGGACUUCGCGGUCCUGCCUCGUUUUUCUCCUUCGCGGGAGAGAACCCGCCGCAUUUUCUGUCUACCUUGAAAAAAUUAGAGUGGUAAAGGCAGGCUAAAACCCCGAGCCUGAAUAUUUCGUGCAUGGAAUAAGCGGGGAUGCUCUUUUCCGGAGGGCGGUCCGACCGACUGGCGACGUCGCUUUCGCUGUCGGUUUCGCCGGAGAGCUAGGAUUCGAGAGGAACGGUGGGGGGCGAGCGUACCGGGCGGGGAGAGGUGAAAUUUUUGAUCCGCUCGAGACGACUCGAAGCGAAAGCGCUGGCCCACG